GACGAACCGUGCGAACGUUGUUCGGAAUCACUGGGCUUAAAGGGCGCGUAGGCGGCCCCGCCAGUCUCGGGUGAAAUCUUCCGGCCCAACCGGAAAAGUGCCCGGGAUACUGCGGGGCUCGAGCGAGGCAGGGGCGGGGGGAACUUCCGGUGGAGCGGUGGAAUGCGUUGAUAUCGGAAGGAACGCCGGUGGCGAAAGCGCCCCGCUGGGCCUCUCCUGACGCUGAGGCGCGAAAGCCAGGGGAGCGAACGGG
rnacentral:rRNA from 1 species